UACGUAGGGGGCAAGCGUUGUCCGGAUUUAUUGGGCGUAAAGGGCGCGUAGGCGGCUCUGCACGUUCGUUGUGAAAUCGCCCGGCUCAACUGGGCGGGGUCGGCGGAUACGGCGUGGCUGGAGCAAGCUAGGGGGCAAUGGAAUUCCCGGUGUAGUGGUGGAAUGCGCAGAUAUCAGGAGGAACACCGGUGGCGAAGGCGGGUCUCUGGGCAGUAACUGACGCUGAGGAGCGAAAGCGUGGGGAGCGAACAGG
rnacentral:rRNA from 1 species